GAUGAAGAACGCAGCGAAAUGCGAUAAGUAAUGUGAAUUGCAGAAUUCAGUGAAUCAUCGAAUCUUUGAACGCACAUUGCGCCCGCCAGUAUUCUGGCGGGCAUGCCUGUUCGAGCGUCAUUUCAACCAUCAAGCCCCCGGCUUGUGUUGGGGACCUGCGGCUGCCGCAGGCCCUGAAAUGCAGUGGCGGGCUCGCUGUCACUCCGAGCGUAGUAGUUACAUCUCGCUCUGGGCGUGCUGCGGGUUCCGGCCGUUAAAAGCCUUAUUUACCCAAGGUUGACCUCGGAUCAGGUAGGAAGACCCGCUGAACUUAAGCAUAUCAAAAGCGGAGGA
rnacentral:misc_RNA from 1 species